UACGUAGGGCGCAAGCGUUGUCCGGAAUCAUUGGGCGUAAAGAGCUCGUAGGCGGCCUGUCGCGUCCGCUGUGAAAUCCCGGGGCUUAACCCCGGGCGUGCAGUGGAUACGGGCUGGCUGGAGGCAGGCAGGGGAGAACGGAAUUCCCGGUGUAGCGGUGGAAAUGCGCAGAUAUCGGGAGGAACACCGGGUGGCGAAGGCGGUUCUCUGGGCCUGUACUGACGCUGAGGAGCGAAAGCGUGGGGAGCGAACAGG
rnacentral:rRNA from 1 species